UAAAAUUAAAACCCAAAACGAAAUCCUACAUAGUUCCUAAAAUAAAACCUCAAAACGAAACACUAAAUAACCCUUAAAAUCAAAACCAAGACGAAACCCUAAAUAACCCUUACAAUCAAAAUUCAAAUUGAAACCCUAACUAACCCCUAAAAUUAAAACCCAAAACGGAAAUAAAAAAUACACACCAUGAAAUCGGAAAUAAAUGGCACCCAAUCACAAAAGGAGAGAACAAAAUCCCAACCAAAAUGCAAUCAAACUAACCAAAUGAAAACCAACCUCGUUUGAAGCCCUCAAAUUGCACUGCAAAUAGCACUCCAAAUGCCACAAAAAAUUGAAUUCAAGGCGCGAUCUUCCCAACCCUAACAACAACUUUCGGAAAAUGCGAAAAAAAACCCAAAUAGCACUCUAAUUUCAAUUAGAUUUCCAAUUUUUUCCAUCGCAACACAUGGACCCCACAUUACAAUAAAAAAUUAUUUUCCAUGCCACCUCAGUGGUUGUAAUCUGGCACACACACGUGGCAGUUGCCUAUAUUUCGUCACCCUAAAGGUUUAGUGGGCCAGAUUCUCCCACUUCCAUUUUCUGCUUAAAUCCUAAUCUCUUUCCUUUGCUACUUCAACCCUCAUCUAUGAGAAAUUUCCCCAAAUCCGGCUCCUCAAAAUCGUCCCCGGUGAAGCUGCAACGAAGGUCCGUGAAGAUGCACGUGAUUGCCCAGUGGUGUCGUUGAAGGUGAGUGGUGGUAGAUGGUGGUGAUUUGAGCUCUGUUGGCCGUUUGAAGCUUUGUCGUGCAGAAUUAAAAGCGAGAUUUGAUGACGACGAACAUGACCAUAGGGGGUGCAACGACGACGAACGUGAACGACGAACGAAGGAGGCGAGCGCGAGGACAACUGCUGUUGCAAGCAGUGAUGAUAUCUUCAGCAACACAAUCUUAAACAGAAACAACGUCAUUGACGACAAGAAGAGCAACAGGCGCGCAUGAAGGAGAUACAAAUAACGGAGGUGUGAGCAGCUGAGAUGCACCGUAAUUUGAGUGAGUGAGGUUUCAACAACUUGGGACUUUUCUUAGGAUUCAUGAUUUCAAUUUUUUAUAAGAAAUUCUCACACACAACUACUAUUUUUUAUUUUUUCAAAAUAAUAUGAAAUGCUAUAAUUUAAAAGAAAAAGCCUGUUCACACUCUCACGUGGUCUUGCCCCUCGAAAGUUAGACUUAUUAUAUUAUAUCCUCGGUUUUGUGUGGCUGAGCCUACAAUAAUUACAUUGGCUAAACCUACGCUAUUUGUGUGGGCUUCUAUAAGUAUGUUUGUGUCCAUUACUUUUUGCGUCCAUUAAUUAGAAAGAAAAUAAAAACCCAUUGGUUAGUGGGUUCAUUUUCCAAUUUAUCAUUGCUUGUCACCUCUCUGUCAUUGUACUUGAAAUGAAACACACAGUUGUUAUGCUUCUUAUCUAUGUUCAUCAUUCAUUAGAAGUCAUCUUGUUUUCGUAUCUAUGCAUAGAUCACUUGUUCUUUGAGGCACAACAAAACACGUAUUCUGCAAAAUAAAAUUUAUGCAUAUCAAAUUCAGAUUUACAAUACUAUAAUUAGUUUUAAGGGUUGGAAAAACAUAAAACACUAGACAAAUAGGGGGCUUUGUAUAAGAAAAUAGAAAUUUACUUGCAGAAGUUCUUCAAAUACAUCUUCCAAAGUUGAGGAAUAGAUGUCUUCAGAAGCCACAGCAUAAACCUAUAAUAUAUAAAACAUUCAGAAAAUUCUAUUGAAAGUUUAUAUUAAAGGAAAUGUUGCCGAUUAAUUUGAAGGAAUGAGUUGAUCCCGAGCACCACUACCACCGGAAAGACUGUUUGAGCCGAAAUCAGUGACAGAAGCCAGCGCAGGUCUCUACCGUCGUCGUCGUCGUCGAUCCUUUUCCGUCCUCGUUAGAUAUCAUCACUCGCCCCCCUUCAUCAAUAUUUAGAACUUCGUCUCCGCAUUGGAGGCGAAUUUGUCAGCAUUCGGAAUGGGGCAGCGCGACAGAAGAGAGUGGCAGCGUCUGGAACGGGAGGCGGAGGAUAGCGUCGAGGUAGUAGGAACGGAGGAAGGGGCAAUGAAGAGGGAAAUCAGAGACUGUUCACGGAAAGUGAAGAGGAAACUGAAAUUUUUUUGGAGAAAUGAAAAGGAAAAUAAAUUUUGAAGCAAAUGUAGAUUAUUU
rnacentral:lncRNA from 1 species